rnacentral:rRNA from 1 species
CUACGGGGGGCUGCAGUGGGGAAUAUUGGACAAUGGGGGAAACCCUGAUCCAGCAAUGCCGCGUGUGUGAAGAAGGCCUGCGGGUUGUAAAGCACUUUCGGUUGGGAGGACUGCUUCUAGCACUAAUAUUGUUGGAAGUUGACGUUACCUUCAGAAGAAGCACCGGAUAACUCCGUGCCAGCAGCCGCGGUAAUACGGAGGGUGCAAGCGUUAAUCGGAAUUACUGGGCGUAAAGCGCGCGUAGGCGGCUAGAUCAGUCGGGUGUGAAAGCCCCGGGCUUAACCUGGGAACUGCAUCCGAUACUGUCUAGCUUGAGUACAGGAGAGGAGAGUGGAAUUCCACAUGUAGCGGUGAAAUGCGUAGAUAUGUGGAGGAACACCAAUGGCGAAGGCAGCUCUCUGGCCUGAUACUGACGCUGAGGUGCGAAAGCGUGGGAAGCAAACAGGAUUAGAUACCCGCGUAGUC